rnacentral:rRNA from 1 species
ACGCUCGACACCUACGGGAAGGCAGCAGUGGGGAAUAUUGCACAAUGGGGGAAACCCUGAUGCAGCGACGCCGCGUGAGCGAAGAAGUAUCUCGGUAUGUAAAGCUCUAUCAGCAGGGAAGAAGAUGACGGUACCUGACUAAGAAGCACCGGCUAAAUACGUGCCAGCAGCCGCGGUAAUCUGAGCGGGCUGGCAAGGC